GACGAACGCUGGCGGCGUGCUUAACACAUGCAAGUCGAGCGGUAAGGCCCUUUCGGGGUACACGAGCGGCGAACGGGUGAGUAACACGUGGGUGACCUGCCUCAGCUCUGGGAUAAGCCUGGGAAACUGGGUCUAAUACUGGAUAUGACUCCACGGUGCAUGUCGUGGGGUGGAAAGCCUUGUGCGGCUGAGGAUGGGCCCGCGGCCUAUCAGCUUGUUGGUGGGGGA
rnacentral:rRNA from 1 species